rnacentral:rRNA from 1 species
UACGUAGGGUGCGAGCGUUUGUCCGGAAUUAUUGGGCGUAAAGAGCUCGUAGGCGGCUCGUCGCGUCAGCUGUGAAAACCCGCGGCUUAACCGUGGGCUUGCAGCUGAUACGGGCGGGCUAGAGUUCGGUAGGGGAGACUGGAAUUCCUGGUGUAGCGGUGAAAUGCGCAGAUAUCAGGAGGAACACCGGUGGCGAAGGCGGGUCUCUGGGGCCGAUACUGACGCUGAGGAGCGAAAGCGUGGGGAGCGAACAGG